CAGCAGUCGCCGCGGUAAUACGUAGGGUGCGAGCGUUAAUCGGAAUUACUGGGCGUAAAGCGUGCGCAGGCGGUUGUGUAAGUCUGCUGUGAAAUCCCCGGGCUCAACCUGGGAAUGGCAGUGGAUACUGGCUCGCUAGAGUGUGUCAGAGGAUGGUGGAAUUCCCGGUGUAGCGGUGAAAUGCGUAGAGAUCGGGAGGAACAUCAGUGGCGAAGGCGGCCAUCUGGGACAACACUGACGCUGAGGCACGAAAGCGUGGGGAGCAAACAGGAUUAGAUACCCCAGUAGUCCCUGUCUCUUAUAC
rnacentral:rRNA from 1 species